rnacentral:rRNA from 1 species
AUUGAACGCUGGCGGCAUGCCUUACACAUGCAAGUCGAACGGUAACAGGUUAAGCUGACGAGUGGCGAACGGGUGAGUAAUAUAUCGGAACGUGCCCAGUCGUGGGGGAUAACGUAGCGAAAGCUACGCUAAUACCGCAUACGAUCUACGGAUGAAAGCAGGGGACCGUAAGGCCUUGCGCGAUUAGAGCGGCCGAUACCUGAUUAGCUAGUUGGUGAGGUAAAGGCUCACCAAGGCAACGAUCAGUAGCUGGUCUGAGAGGACGAUCAGCCACACUGGGACUGAGACACGGCCCAGACUCCUACGGGAGGCAGCAGUGGGGAAUUUUGGACAAUGGGGGCAACCCUGAUCCAGCAAUGCCGCGUGAGUGAAGAAGGCCUUCGGGUUGUAAAGCUCUUUUGUCAGGGAAGAAACAGCAGCUCUAAUACAGUAUGCGAAUGACGGUACCUGAAGAAUAAGCACCGGCUAACUACGUGCCAGCCGCCGCGGUAA